AUUGAACGCUGGCGGCAUGCCUAACACAUGCAAGUCGAACGAACCCUUCGGGGUGAGUGGCGCACGGGUGCGUAACGCGUGGGAACCUGCCCUUAGGUUCGGAAUAACAGUGAGAAAUCGCUGCUAAUACCGGAUAAUGUCUUCGGACCAAAGAUUUAUCGCCUUUGGAUGGGCCCGCGUUGGAUUAGCUAGUUGGUGGGGUAAAGGCUCACCAAGGCGACGAUCCAUAGCUGGUCUUAGAGGAUGAUCAGCCACACUGGGACUGAGACACGGCCCAGACUCCUACGGGAGGCAGCAGUGGGGAAUAUUGGACAAUGGGCGAAAGCCUGAUCCAGCAAUGCCGCGUGAGUGAUGAAGGCCUUAGGGUUGUAAAGCUCUUUACCCGGGUAUGAUAAUGACAGUACCGGGAGAAUAAGCUCCGGCUAACUUCGUG
rnacentral:rRNA from 1 species